AGCCUUGAGGUGUUUACAUAUUAGACUGCAAAUCUUAAGAAGCAGGUUAGCGCCUGCCUGGGCUU
rnacentral:tRNA from 1 species